rnacentral:rRNA from 1 species
AGAUGGGAGCUUGCUCCCUGAUGUUAGCGGCGGACGGGUGAGUAACACGUGGGUAACCUGCCUGUAAGACUGGGAUAACUCCGGGAAACCGGGGCUAAUACCGGAUGGUUGUUUGAACCGCAUGGUUCAAACAUAAAAGGUGGCUUCGGCUACCACUUACAGAUGGACCCGCGGCGCAUUAGCUAGUUGGUGAGGUAAUGGCUCACCAAGGCAACGAUGCGUAGCCGACCUGAGAGGGUGAUCGGCCACACUGGGACUGAGACACGGCCCAGACUCCUACGGGAGGCAGCAGUAGGGAAUCUUCCGCAAUGGACGAAAGUCUGACGGAGCAACGCCGCGUGAGUGAUGAAGGUUUUCGGAUCGUAAAGCUCUGU